CAGUGGCGUGCUGGGUACUAUUUUUCUGGGGAGGCCAGUCGGCUGGCAACUAAUAUGCGCCCCUAUAAUAUUACCCUUGAUAAACGAGGGCCGAAGGCACGAGCCGAGCGCCGCAGGUGCGAGGUUUGUCUAGGGGGGUCCGGGGGCAUGCCCCCCAGGAAAAUUUUUGAAUUUAGAGUCUCUGAAAUGGCAUUUCCUGGACUUUGGGGGAAGAUUUGACAGAAAUCUGAUGGUCAGGAAACGGCAUUACAACGUGUCGAAAUUUGAAAAUUGGUUAGAAUUUAGUAGUAGCACUUAAAUUGGGCAAUGCUAACUACUUCCAGCAAUUAAUCUAAUCCCAAUUCCAUUCUCUACUGAUCUGAAUACAUUUACAAUUUACAGCUCUUUCAUACAAUAACACACGAAUCCCACGCAUAUGCAUUUUAAGGUUUCCUUGCCUGGCUGCCAAAAGGGCGUGUUUCAUCAUUAUCUCAAUACUUGCAUUACUCAUAAUGUUUCUUGCGCAAACAACUAAAUUGCGUACACAACUUUACAUUAUCAUAACUUCAACUAUCUAAUUUGCGCCGCUCUCGUGAUUCGUGAAGCAUAAUAAAGGGCAUAAUAUAAGGGUAUAAUACCAGCAAAAAAGGGCAUAAUUCCCGUGAUCGCUUCGAAGCCUGGUCAAUAUUCCGGUAAUGAGACAUUGCGUGUGAUCACUGAUCAUGUUUCUAUAUGAACGAGUGAUUUCGUGUGAGUCGUGAGGUAGCAAAUACGGUUAGACAAAAUAGUCUGCAAUUUAAUAUACUCACUUUGUCGC